AAAGGAGGAGUCUUCCCACUCCAUUAAGUGGAGAUAGGUAGAAGGUGCCUUUUUCCUCUGAAAGAGAUGGUUUKCCUUCUGAUGACUUCUUUGAUAUUUUUGACACACUAAUGUCCUGUGAGAUUUAAACAAGCUUAGGAGAUGUGGAUAAUUGCGUUAAUUUUUGAGAAGUUGUUUAGCUCUUGUGGGAUAUUUAAGUGCUUUAAAGAAUAUCGGGAUGUGAUCGGGCUCUCUUGGGAAGUCAUGAGUUAUGUCAAAAUAAAUGACAACCAACUGGUCAAACAACCCACAGCUGGGACGAAGCUGCUGAGAAAGAGGAACUGAGGAUAGUAAUAGCKAUCAGCAGGACGAGCAGCAGGUACAUGACAAGAAACUUUUGGAUUUACAUUGGACACCAUUUCUGGAAUAUAUUUACCAACCGUAAUGGUAAAAAGUAUAGAAGGCUAUUUGAAAACUUACUGAAUGAAAGCGAAUAGAGUGAAAUUUGGAUAAAGAACUAUCUGUCUCCUUGGGGAAAUACAGGUACAGGAGCCCUUCCAUCUGUGUGUGGAUGUGCGAAAGCUAAUUGAAUUGGCAACCAUUGCUUUGUAAUUUCCAUUUGGAGGCCCUCUGUCUUAAGCUAGAAGACCUUCGUCCUUGGGUUCUUUUUUCACAAGCAGAAGGAAGGGAGAAGGCAGUAGAUGUGCUGAGGUGGAUCAGGAAGUCCAAAACAAAAUUCAUCUUCAGAAAAACAAUAAUUUGGGUCACCGAUGUCUCUUCAGAAAGGAUAAAAUUGCUCCCCAGAAGCUAGAUAUGUGGUUUCUGCCAGCUGCAGCAGGACGAGGCUUUUGGU